UGCUCUCCUUCUGCGGCUCUGCACAGUUUGCAGCUGAAGGCUGGUGGCUUGUGCAACCAGCCU
rnacentral:sRNA from 1 species